GUUGGGACACCUGGACGCCUUGUGGACCAUCUAACCAAUACUAAAGGUUUUUCUCUGCGCACAUUGAAGUAUCUGGUUCUUGAUGAGGCAGAUAGGUUACUGAAUGAAGACUUUGAAAAAUCAAUUGAUGAAAUUCUGAAUGAAAUUCCUCGUGAGAGGAGAACAUAUCUAUUUUCUGCUACUAUGACAAAAAAGGUUCGGAAACUUCAAAGGGCAUGCUUAAGGAAUCCUGUUAAGAUUGAAGCGGCAACCAAAUAUUCCACAGUAGACACACUAAAGCAGCAAUAUUGUUUUAUCCCUGCGAAGUAUAAGGAGUGUUAUCUUGUCUAUAUCUUAACUGAGAUGUCUGGUUCAACAUCAAUGGUCUUCACUCGCACUUGUGACGCCACUCGCCUUCUAUCAUUGAUUCUUCGAAAUCUUGGAUUAAGAGCCAUACCCAUAAGUGGUCAGAUGACCCAGGCAAAGAGACUAGGAGCCUUAAAUAAGUUCAAGGCUGGAGAGUGCAAUGUUCUCAUCUGUACUGAUGUGGCUAGCAGAGGACUUGAUAUUCCAUCUGUGGAUAUGGUCAUCAAUUAUGAUAUUCCUUCAAAUUCCAAGGAUUACAUACAUAGAGUUGGAAGAACUGCUCGUGCAGGUCGUUCUGGGGUUGCCAUCUCCUUGGUUAAUCAGUAUGAGUUAGAGUGGUAUAUACAGAUAGAGAAGCUCAUAGGGAAAAAAUUACCGCAGUUUUCCGCUCAAGAAGAGGAAGUUUUGAUGCUGUUAGAGCGUGUGACAGAGGCAAAGAGAAUAUCUCUCAUGAAAAUUAAAGAAGCUGGUGGUAAAAAGAGGAGGCGAGGUGGAGAUGACGACGAUGACAACGACAAUAACGAUGUUGAAAAGUAUUUGCGUCUCAAGACUGGAAAGGGUGGAAAAAUGUCCAAGAAUGGAAAAACAUCCAAGAAGUUGAAAAGAAGAUGAGUCAAAAUUAUUUAUAUUUAUAAUUUGAAGAGUUUCAAAUCGUUUGCUUCAAAUUUUGCUAUAGUUUCAGGCGAAUAUGAUGUUCUAAGUUGAAUACAAAUCAUUAAUGAAUGAGCAAUUUUG
rnacentral:misc_RNA from 1 species